ensembl:lncRNA
AGGAAAUAUUCUAAACUAGUUUGCUUUCACAAUAUGGUUUCUUAGCAAAGAAUCUCAUUAUUUACACAGUGAUGACAUCAAUAUUGCCAUGUUCUGUUUUAAACUGUCACAUGGAACUCACUAACCAAUUGCCACACAGCCAAUGGAACUUCACAGAUCAUGCUGCACUCAUCUUUAUAUUUCUUAAGAUACUUUCAGGUGCACACAACAUAUGUCAACUGAAUUUUUAAGCUUUGUGGCUUUUUAUUUUCAUAGAUGAGCAUUAACAUUUGAGGACAUUUCAAGUAUUCUGCUGCAGUACAAAUGUUGGAUAAUCUUCGCAUUGACAACAUCCACUAACUAUAGUUUUUGGGCCCUUCCAAGGAUCUUGGAAGGAAACUGUGUGUGAGCAAAUUUAAUUAUUAAACUUCACUAACUGCACA